GUCUAUGGCCAUGCCACCCUAAACAUGCCUGAUCUUGUCUGAUCUCAGAAGCUAAGCAGGGUCAGGCCUGGUUAGUCCUUGGAUGGAAGACCACCUAGGAGUACCAGGUGCUGUAGACA
rnacentral:rRNA from 1 species